UUCAUGGAAUCAUCCGAUCGAGACGGGGUCGGGGAACCCACCGGCGACAGCCGGACGGGUCGGACGGCACGGACAUCACCGUGCCGGCCGCGAUCCCUGGGGUGAAGCCGGACGCGACGCGUCCGCCGGGCAUCCCUUCCGCCCGAACCCGACAGCUAACCCCGACGGCGAAUCACCGAAAUCAA
rnacentral:sRNA from 1 species